CCUCCCAGCGCUUAUUUCCCCUGAGCGCGAUGGGUCAGGCCCUUCUUAAGAGAGCAGUGAAAAUACCCAGAAAAAAGGGCUUUUACUCACUCCAGAGACUGGGUUUACUUAUUUUGGGUGAGCCCUCAUUUUCUUUAGUAAAAGUGGAGGGUUGUUUAGUUUUGUUUCAAUCCAGGCCAAACGCACUAUUAACUCUAACCAUUUAGCAACGCUGAGAGAAUGUCCCUUGGUAGCCUUUUAUUUGCCCACUGUGGUCCUCUAACCCGCUGUGUUGGGAGCACCGAACACCAGCUUUGUUCCACAGACGUGGAAACAGACCCAGGCGACUUGCCCAGGGUUAUGUGGCCAUUCAGUGGGACAGUGGGGGAACAGAGAACUAAGCUUUUGGUCCCUGCUGCCUGCCCAGGGGACCCACUCUCAUGACCCUGGGUCACAGCCCAGGGCUCCCCACAGCCCAGGGCUCCCCACAAGGAAAGGCAGUCAAGUCAACCUUGCUGCUUCCUGUUGCAAGCUUUUGAUACAUCAGUUUCAUUUUCAAAAUACCGCCCAGAGUAGUCUAUGGUCAGCAGAAAGAUGCUGACAGCACUGUCUAUUCUAGGAAGUUAUUUUCGAAUGAACUACAGUGUGAGGGACGGUUGGAAUGUCCCUGAUGCUGAAGGAGCCUGGCAGCUAUUACGCUGGUCCUCAGCCCACCAGGCCUUCCUUUUUAAGAGGUAUCUAGGAACUUGCAUAAUGCCUCUGUUUUGUUGCAGUCUAAGGGCGCUGACCCUUUGCCCAGAGAGAAGCGGAGUUUUAAGUGAUGUGUACAGGACACUCUUCUAAGGAUGAGACCCUGGCACUUGGCCUGGGCCCUCAAAUAUGCGUUGAAUGACUGAUACAGCCUGAAUGCCUGUUAUCAGACUCAGAGAUUGUGUGGGCCAGGGAAGGCAGGCAGCAGAGAGAGUGCGGGCAGGCCGGG
rnacentral:lncRNA from 1 species